UAAUACGGAGGGUGCGAGCGUUAAUCGGAAUUACUGGGCGUAAAGCGCGCGUAGGCGGUUUGUUAAGUCAGCUGUGAAAGCCCCGGGCUCAACCUGGGAACUGCAGUUGAUACUGGCCGACUGGAGUGCGAGAGAGGGAGGUAGAAUUCCAUGUGUAGCGGUGAAAUGCGUAGAUAUAUGGAGGAAUACCGGUGGCGAAGGCGGCCUCCUGGCUCGACACUGACGCUGAGGUGCGAAAGCGUGGGGAUCAAACAGGAUUAGAUACCCUGGUAGUCCACGCCGUAAACGAUGUCUACUAGCCGUUGGGAGACUUGAUUUCUUAGUGGCGCAGCUAACGCAAUAAGUAGACCGCCUGGGGAGUACGGCCGCAAGGUUA
rnacentral:rRNA from 1 species